UUCCCUCUGAUCCAACUCUUUAGGAAGGAAGAUGAAGAGGAUGUUAUUUCCAAGCAGGACCAGUCAAGUGACUGGAAUAAGGAGUGACAUGUGAUUGUGAAGCCCAGUCCGUGAAGAGAUUCUAAGAUGGCAGAAUGCUCGACUGUGAUAACUGCAUAAACAGCAAGACAAGGAGGAAAGGAUGAAGAAGCAAUGAUAAUAAGUGUGACUCCUUGACCUCUUCUUCCUCCCAAACCUUCUGCAGUGGGGCAGGCAUCCUUCCUCCUUUUGGCAUCUCUUCUGAAAGGAGGAUUGAUCAACUGCAGCUGGGGACAAGGAUAAAAGAGGAGGACAGCCAGCAGCCCCUGGAGCUUCCCCUUCAGGGAAGAUAGAACCAACAGCAAAGGAGGCUCUGCCACAGUCUUGGACUCCCAAAGCUUACUGCCCCAGGAUGGAACUUUGGAGAGGAGAGAGACUCCCACCUCCCUGAGGUCAAGUGACAUGGAAGAGAGUUCCUCCUGGAGGUUCCUAUUGGUCAGCUCUGCUCGUUCUGUCAGCACCCAUGAGCUGGACACCAAGAGCCUAUA